GGAGGUAUAGCUCAGUGGUAGAGUGCCUCCUUAACAUACAUGAAGUCCUCGGUUCAGUCCCCAGUACCUCCA
rnacentral:tRNA from 1 species